AAUGCAUGCAGGUCGAGCGAUGAGGCUCCUUCGGGGGUACAUCAGCGGCAGACGGGUGAGUAACACGUAGGUGACCUACCCUCGAGACGGGGAUAACGGCUGGAAACAGUCGCUAAUACCCGAUAGACUUACCAGGUCAAAGCGGUAAGAAAAGCUACGGUGCUUGAGGAGGGGCCUGCGGCCCAUCAGCUAGUUGGUAGGGUAACGGCCUACCAAGGCGAAGACGGGUAGGGGGUGUGAGAGCACGAGCCCCCACAAUGGGACUGCGACACGGCCCAUACUCCUACGGGAGGCAGCAGCAGGGAAUAUUGCACAAUGGACGGAAGUCUGAUGCAGCGACGCCGCGUUGAGUGAAAGACGGCCUUCGGGUUGUAAAAGCUCUUUUACGGGGGACGAGGAAGGACGGUACCCUGGGAAGAAGUGUCGGCUAACUACGUGCCAGCAGCCGCGGUAAGACGGUAGGACACAAGCGUUAUCCGGAGUUACUGGGCGUAAAAGCGCCUUGCAGGCGGCCUGGUAAGUUGGGACGUGAAAGCCCCGUGCUUAACGCGGGGAGGUCGGACAAUAUUGCCAAGCUAGAGUGCGUCAGGAGGGGAAGUUGGAAUUUCCGGAGUAAGCGGUAAAAUGCGCAGAUAUUCGGAAGGAACACCAGUGGCGAAAGCGAACUCCCUGGGGGCGCGACUGACGCUAAGA
rnacentral:rRNA from 1 species